rnacentral:rRNA from 1 species
AACGAACGCUGGCGGCAUGCCUAACACAUGCAAGUCGAACGAGACCUUCGGUCUAGUGGCGCACGGGUGCGUAACACGUGGGAAUUUGCCUCGGGGUAUGGAAUAACUCAGGGAAACUUGAGCUAAUACCAUAUAAUGUCUUCGGACCAAAGAUUUUAUCGCCCGUGAGAUAAGCCCGCGUAGGAUUAGCUAGUUGGUGGGGUAAAGGCUCACCAAGGCGACGAUCCUUAGCUGGUCUGAGAGGAUGAUCAG